UCAAGCUAAUAAGAGCACAAGGGGAAUGCCUUGGCAUUGGGAGCCGAAGAAGGACGUGAUAAGCUGCGAUAAGCCACGGGGAGGCGCAAAUAGCCGUAAUAUCCGUGGAUUUCCGAAUGGGGAAACCUCGUACAGCGCAAACUGUAUGGCCGUUAAGUGAAUCCAUAGCUUAACGGAGGGAACCCGCCGAACUGAAACAUCUAAGUAGGCGGAGGAAGAGAAAUCAACCGAGAUUUCGUGAGUAGCGGCGAGCGAAAGCGAAAGAGGCCAAACCGGGUGUAGAAAUACAGCCGGGGUAUGGACCGUCACAAGCAGUCGAAAGUGUAGCAGAAUGAGUUGGAAAGCUCAACCGAAGAGAGUGAAAGUCUCGUAGGCGAAACACAGACGACGCGGACGGUAUCCGGAGUACCUGCGGACACGUGAAAUCCGCAGGGAAUAUGGGGGGCCCACCCUCCAAGCCUAAAUACUACCCAAUGACCGAUAGAGAAGCAGUACUGUGAAGGGAAGGUGAAAAGAACCCCGGGAGGGGAGUGAAAUAGAACCUGAAACCUUGUGUUUACAAGCACACAAAGAGCGUCAAGGCUCGAUGUGGUACCUUUUGUAGAAUGGUCCGGCGAGUUUAUGUAUGUAGCGAGGUUAAGUUAUUCAGUAACGGAGCCGCAGGGAAACCGAGUGUGAAGAGCGCGAUGAGUUACAUGCAUAAGACCCGAAACCGGGUGACCUAUCCAUGUCCAGGAUGAAGUUGGGGUAAAACCCAAUGGAGGACCGAACCGACCCCCGUUGAAAAGGUGGCGGAUGAGGUGUGGAUAGCGGAGAAAUUCCAAUCGAACCCGGAGAUAGCUGGUUCUCCCCGAAAUAGCUUUAGGGCUAGCCUCGGUGUAAAGAUAUUCGCAGGUAAAGCACUGACCGGAUGAGGGGGCGAAAGCCUACCGAUUCCUAUCAAACUCAGAAUGGCGAAAUAUUAUAACCGGGAGUCAGACAGUGUGAGAUAAGUCUCAUUGUCAAAAGGGAAACAGCCCAGAUCUACCGCUAAGGUCCCAAAUAUAUGCUAAGUGGAAAAGGAUGUGGCGAUGCGCAGACAACCAGGAUGUUGGCUUAGAAGCAGCCACUCAUUAAAAGAGUGCGUAACAGCUCACUGGUCGAGUGCCGCUGCGCCGAAGAUUUAACGGGGCUAAGCAUAUAACCGAAGCGUAGGCAGUAUAUAUACUGGGUAGGGGAGCGUUGUGUACGGAUUGAAGCGUCAGCGAAAGCGGGCGUGGACUGUACAGAAGUGAGAAUGCCGGAAUAAGUAGCGAGAAUUGCGUGAGAAUCGUAAUGGCCGAAAAUCUAAGGUUUCCGGGGGUAGGUUCGUCCGCCCCGGGUUAGCCGGGAGCUAAGGCGAGGCCUGAAGGCGUAGCCGAUGCACAUACGGUGGAAAUUCCGUAGCCGUCAAAAGAUUUAAGUAAACUGACACCGAGAGGUAGCUCUACCGGGCGAUGGUUGUCCCGGGUUCGAGAGAUAGACUGAAAUACAAGUAGGGAAUUGAGUCAACGAUCGGGCGAGAAAAGGUUUAUGGAUAUCUUCGACGUCCGUACCGCAAACCGACACAGGUAGAUGGGAAGAGGAUUCCAAGGCCAACGGGAGAAGGGUUGUUAAGGAACUCGGCAAAAUGACCCCGUAACUUAGGGAUAAGGGGAGCCUGCGAAAGCAGGCCGCAGAAAAUAGGCCCAGGCGACUGUUUAGCAAAAACACAGGUCUCUGCAAAACCGAAAGGUGAAGUAUAGGGGCUGACGCCUGCCCGGUGCCGGAAGGUCAAGGGGAAGUGUUAGAGCAAUCGAAGCACUGAACUUAAGCCCCGGUCAACGGCGGCCGUAACUAUAACGGUCCUAAGGUAGCGAAAUUCCUUGCCAGGUAAGUUCUGGCCCGCACGAAUGGCGUAACGAUCUGGGCACUGUCUCAACAGCCCGCCCGGCGAAAUUGUAGUACCGGUGAAGAUGCCGGUUACCCGCGACUAGACGGAGAGACCCCAUGGAGCUUUACUGUAGUUUGAUACUGAGCCUCGGUAUAUUAUGUACAGGAUAGGUGGGAGACAGUGAAACAUGUGCGUCAGCAUGUGCGGAGUCGCCGUUGGGAUACCACUCUUGAUGUACUGAGGUUCUAACCUACACUGCUGAAGCGCGGUGGGGGACAAUGUCAGAUGGGCAGUUUGACUGGGGCGGUCGCCU
rnacentral:rRNA from 1 species